rnacentral:rRNA from 1 species
UACGUAGGGGGCAAGCGUUGUCCGGAUUUAUUGGGCGUAAAGAGCGUGUAGGCGGCCAGGUAGGUCCGCUGUGAAAACUCGAGGCUCAACCUCGAGAUGUCGGCGGAAACCAUCUGGCUAGAGUCCGGAAGAGGAGAGUGGAAUUCCUGGUGUAGCGGUGAAAUGCGCAGAUAUCAGGAGGAACACCGGUGGUGUAGACGGCUCACUGGACCGUAACUGACGCUGAGACACGAAAGCGUGGGUAGCAAACAGG